AGAGUUUGAUCCUGGCUCAGAAUGAACGCUGGCGGCAUGCCUAACACAUGCAAGUCGAACGAAGGCUUCGGCCUUAGUGGCGCACGGGUGCGUAACGCGUGGGAAUCUGCCCCUUGGUUCGGAAUAACAGUUGGAAACGACUGCUAAUACCGGAUGACGACGUAAGUCCAAAGAUUUAUCGCCGAGGGAUGAGCCCGCGUAGGAUUAGCUAGUUGGUGGGGUAAAGGCCUACCAAGGCGACGAUCCUUAGCUGGUCUGAGAGGAUGAUCAGCCACACUGGGACUGAGACACGGCCCAGACUCCUACGGGAGGCAGCAGUGGGGAAUAUUGGACAAUGGGCGCAAGCCUGAUCCAGCAAUGCCGCGUGAGUGAUGAAGGCCUUAGGGUUGUAAAGCUCUUUUACCCGGGAUGAUAAUGACA
rnacentral:rRNA from 1 species